AAUUCCCUGUAUUCGAAGCGGACGAAGAUGAUGUUGAAGGGAUUCCUGGCGAGAUUUCCCGACUUCUUGAGCAAGAAAAGAAGAUCACUCAGCUGCAUCUCGAGAAUCCGCAAAACAGCCAACUGGGGCAUUUAAAGAAAAAAACAAAAAACAAAAAACAAAAAAAAGAGGAGGGUGAAAAAUCAAAAGAAAUCAAAAGAAAUCGAAAUCAAAAGAAAGAAAAAGAAAGAAAGAAACAAAAG
rnacentral:lncRNA from 1 species